rnacentral:rRNA from 1 species
ACGGCCCCAUGCAUGUCUAAGUACGCACGGCAGGUACAGUGAAACUGCGAAUGGCUCAUUAAAUCAGUUAUGGUUUCCUUUGGUCGCUCGCUAGUUAUGGUUCCUUUGGUCGCUCGCUCCUUUCCUACUUGGAAUAACUCUGGGGUAAUUCUAGAGCAUACAUGCCGACGGGCGCUCCCCCCUGCGCGGGGGGGGUGUUGCGUGCAUUUAUCAGAUCAAAAACAAACCCGGCCACCCCCUCCCCGGCCCCGGCCGGGGGGCGCGGGCGCGGGCGGCCUUGUGUGAAUCUAGAUAACCUCGGGCCCGAUCGCACCCCCCCCGUGGCCGCACGACCCAUUUCGAACUCUGCCCUAUCAACUUUCGAUGGUAGUCGCCGGUGCCUACCAUGGUGACCACGGGUGACGGGGAAUCAGGGUUCGAUUCCGGAGAGGGAGCCUGAGAAACGGCUACCACAUCCCAUGGAAGGCAGCAGGGACCGCAAAUUACCCCUCCCGACCCGGGGGAGGUAAAGUGACGAAGAAAAACAAUAACUGGACUCUUUCGAGACCCUGUAAUUGGAAUGAGCCCCACUUUAAAUCCUUUUAACGAGGAUCCAUUGGAGGCAAGUCUGGUGCCAGCAGCCGCGGUAAUUCCAGCUCCAAUUAGCGUAUAUUAAAAGUUGCUGGCAGUUAAAAAGCUCGUAGUUGGAUCUGGGGAGCGGGCGGGCGGUCCGCCGCGAGGCGAGCCACCGCCCCGUCCCCGCCCCUUGCCUCUCGGCCGCCCCUCGAUGCUUUAGCUGAAGUGUCCCCCGCGGGGGGCCCGAAGCGUUUACUUUGAAAAAAUUAGAGUGUUCAAAGCAGCCCGAGCCGCCUGGAUACCGCAGCUAGGCCGAGGCCGCCUGGAUACACCGCAGCUAGGAAUAUGGAAUAGGACCGCGGUUCUAUUUUGUUGAUAGGACCGCGGUUCUAUUUUGUUGGUUUUCGGAACGAGGCCAUGAUUAAGAGGGACGGCCGGGGGCAUUUCCGUUUGCGCCGCUAGAGGUUGAAAUUCUUGGACGGCCGCAAACGGACAGAAGCGAAAGCAUUUGCCCAAGAAUGUUUUUCAUUAAUCAAGAACGAAGUCGGAGGUUCGAAGAGAUCAGAUACCGUCGUAGUUCCGACCAUAAACGAUGCCGACUGGCGAUGCGCCGGAGUUAUUCCCAUGACCUCCGGGGCAGCUUCCGAAACCCAAAAGUCUUUGGGUUCCGGGGGGAGUAUGGUUGCAAAGCUGAAACUUAAAGGAAUUGACGGAAGGGCACCACCAGGAGUGGAGCCUGCGGCUUAAUUUGACCAAACACGGGAAACCUCACCCGGCCCGGACACGGGCAGGAUUACAGAUUGAUAGCUCUUUGUCGAUUACGUGGUGGGGGUCAUGGCGUUCUUGGUUGGUGGCGCGUUGUCUGGGUUAACUUAGUUGGUGGAGCAACGCUGGUGCCUAAACUAGUUUACGCGACCCCCGGGCGGCAUGCUAACUAGUUACGCGACCCCCGAGCGGUACGGCGCCCCCCAACUUCUUAGAGGGACAAGUGGCGUUCACCCACCCGAAUUGAGCAUAACAGGUCUGUGAUGCCCUCUUAGAUGUCCGGGGCUGCACGCCGCGCUACACUGACGGCUCAGCGUGUGCCCUACCACGCCCCGGCAGCGCGGGGUAACCCGUUGAACCCCAUUCGUUGAUGGGGAUCGGGGAUUGCAAUUAUUCCCCAUGAACGAGGAAUUCCC